GCCCUAGAACCUAGUCACUAUUACUAAAAUGAGCACAUAAAGAGAAUGAAAGGUGCAAUGAAGCUUCAUCUCAGUCAAACAUGUUACAAUGACUAACAGUUAACUAGUCCUACAUUACAUUGUGAAAUGAGCACAAUAUGUGAUUUGACUUGUAACUAUAUUCAUGUGUGUAUACUAAGUGUGGGUGAUACAAUUGAAGCCCCA
rnacentral:lncRNA from 1 species